UUUUCACGAAGAUCGUUUUUGGAAAUGUUGGCCUUGCCAGGAUGCAAAAUGUCGACCACCUAAAACGCCCUCAUGUUAGUAUAUGCCACGUCUGAUCGUAAAGAACUUAUAAGCAAAAAAAUACAUACCAUUUGCUUCCUCUGAAGCAAGCGGUUGGUCAUAAACUUGCGAGUUCUGAUUGUAACCGCCUCACUCAUAUUGGUCUUAAUACAACUAUCUAGCGCCCACGAAUUCCAAAAUUUUACCCCA